rnacentral:rRNA from 1 species
AUACGUAGGUGACAAGCGUUAUCCGGAUUUACUGGGCGUAAAGGGCGUGUAGGCGGUCUUGCAAGUCAGAAGUGAAAUUCCUGAGCUCAACUCGGGCGCUUCUUCUGAAACUGCAGGACUUGAGUGCUGGAGGGGAUAGCGGAAUUCCUAGUGGAGCGGUAAAAGUCGCAGAUGUUAGGAAGAACACCGGUGGCGAAGGCGGCUAUCUGGACAGUAACUGACGCUGAGGCGCGAAAGCGUGGGGAGCAAACAGGAUUAGAUCCCCUGGUAGUCCACGCCGUAAACGAUGAAUACUAGGUGUGGGGGGACUGACCCCCUCCGUGCCGCAGUUAACACAAUAAGUAUUCCACCUGGGGAGUACGGCCGCAAGGUUGAAACUCAAAUGAAUUGGCGGGG